rnacentral:rRNA from 1 species
UCGCGCUAGGACGAACGCUGGCGGCGUGCCUAACACAUGCAAGUCGAGCGAGGAGAUUCCUCGGGAUGAUCCUAGCGGCGGACGGGUGAGUAACACGUGGGCAACCUGCCUCAUAGAGAGGAAUAGCCUUCCGAAAGGGAGAUUAAUACCUCAUAACAUUGCAGUUUCGCAUGGAACAGCAAUUAAAGGAGUAAUCCGCUAUGAGAUGGGCCCGCGGCGCAUUAGCUAGUUGGUGAGGUAAUGGCUCACCAAGGCGACGAUGCGUAGCCGACCUGAGAGGGUGAUCGGCCACAUUGGGACUGAGACACGGCCCAGACUCCUACGGGAGGCAGCAGGUGGGGAAUAUUGCACAAUGGGGGAAACCCUGAUGCCAGCAACGCCGCGUGAGUGAUGACGGCCUUCGGGUUGUAAAGCUCUGUCUUCAGGGACGAUAAUGACGGUACCUGAGGAGGAAGCCACGGCUAACUACGUGCCAGCCGCGGC